AGUUCGGAUUNAAGGCUGAAAUUCGCCUUCAUGAAGCUGGAAUUGCUAGUAAUCGCGGAUCAGCAUGCCGCGGUGAAUACGUUCCCGGGCCUUGUACACACCGCCCGUCACACCAUGGGAGCCGGUAAUACCCGAAGUCAGUAGUCUAACCGCAAGGGGGACGCUGCCGAAGGUAGGAUUGGCGACUGGGGUGAAGUCGUAACAAGGUAAC
rnacentral:rRNA from 1 species